CAGCAGCUCUGCUGAGGUGAGUGUCUGCAGAGCAGCAACAUCCUGUUUGGGUUUCUUUUGAAUUUUGGCUUUCUGGUGUGUUUAGCUGUCUGUUGGGGUGUCUCCCAGUGCUGUUUCAUGUGAUUUGUGUUUGUUAUGUUACUCCAAGUGUCUAAUUUGCAAGAUAGCUGGAAGCCCAGUGCUGGCCCUGGGGCUGGAGGAAGUGUUGAGCAGAGCCCUGCUGCUGUGGGUCCUGCUUUCCCCCAGCUGAAGGGGGGAGUUGGCCUAAACUCCUCUAAGUCUGCAAGGAGCAUGAGCUUAAAUUAGUUUUCUUGCAUUAGCAGCAAUGAUGGAGUCCUGCUCUGACCCCCUCCCAAGGAAGAAGGCAGUGGUGGGAAAGGCCAGAGAGAGCCUCCUCUGCCUCAGGCUCUACAGCAGGAAGAAGAAAGCAGGUUAUUCCACCUACAUACACAGACUCCUGAAUCAAACCUGGAACGCGGGUGCCUCCAGCCUGGCGGCUGCUGCUCUCGGCUCGCUGAACAGUCCCCGUCUGCUUGGGGAAGUGGCGCUGGAGGCGGCCAGGCUGUCCUGCUCCGGCAAAAGAAACCACCUCACCCCCAGGGAGAUCCUUCUGGCCAUGAAGCUGGUUCUCCUGCGUGAGCUCUCCAAGACUAACCUGGAUCCUCAAGCUGGCAGCCGGUGCUGAAGGGACCUGGCGAGAUGUGACGGUGUUAAGAGUAUUUUAAUUGUGUUUUGGUAAAUAAAGUAUUUAUUAGCAUUG